CUACGGGGGGCUGCAGUGAGGAAUAUUGCACAAUGGGGGGAACCCUGAUGCAGCAACGCCGCGUGGAGGAUGACGCAUUUCGGUGUGUAAACUCCUUUUAUAUGUCAAGAAAAUGACGGUAGCAUAUGAAUAAGCGCCGGCUAACUCCGUGCCAGCAGCCGCGGUAAUACGGAGGGCGCAAGCGUUACUCGGAAUCACUGGGCGUAAAGGACGCGUAGGCGGGUUGAAAAGUCAGGUGUGAAAGCCUACAGCUUAACUGUAGAACUGCACUUGAAACUCUCAACCUAGAGUAUGGGAGGGGCAGAUGGAAUUAGUGGUGUAGGGGUAAAAUGCGUAGAUAUCACUAGGAAUACCUAAAGCGAAGGCGAUCUCCUGGAACAUAACUGACGCUAAGGCGUGAAAGCGUGGGGAGCAAACAGGAUUAGAUACCCCCGUAGUC
rnacentral:rRNA from 1 species